rnacentral:rRNA from 1 species
AGUGAACGCUGGCGGUAGGCCUAACACAUGCAAGUCGAACGGCAGCACAGUAAGAGCUUGCUCUUACGGGUGGCGAGUGGCGGACGGGUGAGGAAUACAUCGGAAUCUACUUUUUCGUGGGGGUUAACGUAGGGAAACUUACGCUAAUACCGCAUACGACCUACGGGUGAAAGCAGGGGAUCUUCGGACCUUGCGCGAUUGAAUGAGCCGAUGUCGGAUUAGCUAGUUGGCGGGGUAAAGGCCCACCAAGGCGACGAUCCGUAGCUGGUCUGAGAGGAUGAUCAGCCACACUGGAACUGAGACACGGUCCAGACUCCUACGGGAGGCAGCAGUGGGGAAUAUUGGACAAUGGGCGCAAGCCUGAUCCAGCCAUACCGCGUGGGUGAAGAAGGCCUUCGGGUUGUAAAGCCCUUUUGUUGGGAAAGAAAAGCAGCAGGUUAAUACCCCGCUGUUCUGACGGUACCCAAAGAAUAAGCACCGGCUAACUUCGUG